GAGAAUAAGCCCUUGUUCCCCCCUUUGUUCCCAAACGCAGCGUUUGGUAACCGAGAACAGUAGUUCCUGAGUUUCUGGAACUAGCUGGUAUAAAACUGGAACUAGCUGGAACUGCCGUUCCACCUUUUUUCUGGAACAAACUUGUUCCCGAAUGAGAACAAGGUUAAUUAAAUAUAAAUUUAAAUUUUAAUGAUAGUAAACUAUUAAUUAAUCUAAUUAAUAUAUUUGAAUUAUUAUCUAUUGCUUAAAUAAUAAAAUAAAUAAAUAAUUAAUUAAUUAUAAUUAAUUAUUUAUAAUUAGAUAAUAAUAAUUAUUAAUUUAAUAAUUAUUAUUUAUUAAUAAUUAUUAAUUAAAUAAUAAUUAUUAAUAAUUAUUAUUCUUAAGAAAUAGAUAAUCGAUAUUAUUAUUAAUUUAUUAUUUAUAAUUAAUUAUUAAUAAUUAGAUAAUUAUUAUUAAUUAAUUUAUUACUUAUAAUUAAUUAUUAAUAUUAUUAUUUAAAUAAUAAUUAAUAAUAAAAUAAUUAUUCUUAUUAAUUAGAUAAUCGAUAUUAUUAGUAAUUUAUUAUUAAUAAUUAAUAAUUAAAUAAUUAUUAUUAUUUAUUAAUAAUGAUUUAUAAUUAAUUAUUAAUAAUUAGAUAAUUAUUUUUAAUUAAUUUAUUACUUAUAAAUAAUUAUUAAUAGUUAUUAAUAAUUAAUUAAUUAAUUAAUAAUUAUUAAUAAUUUAUUAAUAAUUAAUUAAUUUAUUACUUAUAAAUAAUUAUAAAUAAUUAAUAAUAAUUAAUUAAUAAUAAUAAUUAAUAAUUAAUAAUUAAUAAUUAUUAUUAUUUAUAAUUAUUUAUUAAUAAUUUAUUUAUUAUUUAUUUUUAAGUAAUAUUUUGAUGUUAAUUAAUUAGAUAAUAUAAUGUUAAUUUCAAAUUAUAACUUUUAUUCCUCUUGUUCCAAUUUAACCAUCCAAACGCUAUUUACCUUAUUCCUAGGAACAACUCAAUUUUCAUCCAAACGUAAAAUUGGUCUAGUUCCUGCUUAUACCUGAACUUGUAACUAUCCCUGGAAUAAGCAGUUCUUACUUAUACCUGAACCAAACGCAGCCAAUUUUAUGGUGCAUAGUCAAUUUUAUGGUGCCAACAAAUUUUGUUGUCCAUUGAAUCUACACAAAUCUAUCAUAAAAUGUAUACUAUACAUCUCUUAUUUAUUUAAAUUUAAUUCAAAAAUUUUUUAUAUUGAAAAAAAAACAAAAUU
rnacentral:lncRNA from 1 species